AAUGAACGUUGGCGGCGUGGAUUAGGCAUGCAAGUCGCGCGAGAAGUCAAUUAGCUUGCUAAGUGACGGACAGCGGCGCAAGGGAGAGUAAUACGUAGAAAUCUGCCCCGGAGUCUGGGAUAGCGGCGGGAAACUGCCGGUAAUACCGGAUAACGUCUUCGGACCAAAGGUGUGAUUCCGCUUUGGGAUGAGUCUACGACCUAUUAGCUAGUUGGUGGGGUAAAGGCCUACCAAGGCGACGAUGGGUAGCGGGUGUGAGAGCAUGGCCCGCCUCACUGGGACUGAGACACUGCCCAGACAUCUACGGAUGGCUGCAGUCGAGAAUCUUUGUCAAUGGACGAAAGUCUGAACAAGCGACGCCGCGUGCGGGAUGAAGGCCUUUGGGUUGUAACCGCUGUCGUAGGGGAAAAAUCCUUGGGGGUACUCUCCCUUGAUUGAGUGAUCCUAGGAGAAGGACGGGCUAAGUUCGUGCCAGCCGCCGCGGUAA
rnacentral:rRNA from 1 species